rnacentral:rRNA from 1 species
GUGGGGAAUUUUGGACAAUGGGCGAAAGCCUGAUCCAGCAAUGCCGCGUGCAGGAUGAAGGCCCUCGGGUUGUAAACUGCUUUUGUACGAAACGAAAAGCCUGGGGCUAAUAUCCCCGGGUCAUGACGGUACCGUAAGAAUAAGCACCGGCUAACUACGUGCCAGCAGCCGCGGUAAUACGUAGGGUGCAAGCGUUAAUCGGAAUUACUGGGCGUAAAGCGUGCGCAGGCGGUUGUGUAAGACAGUGGUGAAAUCCCCGGGCUCAACCUGGGAACUGCCAUUGUGACUGCAAGGCUAGAGUGCGGCAGAGGGGGAUGGAAUUCCGCGUGUAGCAGUGAAAUGCGUAGAGAUGCGGAGGAACACCGAUGGCGAAGGCAAUCCCCUGGGCCUGCACUGACGCUCAUGCACGAAAGCGUGGGGAGCAAACAGGAUUAGAAACCCGGGUAGUCC